rnacentral:tRNA from 1 species
AAGAUUUUAAGUUAAAUAAACUAUUAACCUUCAAAGUUAAAAAAAUCAAAUUGAUAAAUCUUA